rnacentral:misc_RNA from 1 species
GAUGAAGAACGCAGCAAAAUGCGAUACUUGGUGUGAAUUGCAGAAUCCCGUGAACCAUCGAGUUUUUGAACGCAAGUUGCGCCCAAAACCAUCCGGUUGAGGGCACGCCUGCCUGGGCGUCACGCAUCGUGUCGUCCCCCAACAUACUCUCCCUUAUUGGGUUGUCAUGUUGAUUGGGGACGGAGAUUGGCCUCCCGUACUUCUGGUGCGGUUGGCCUAAAUAGGAGGCCCCUUCGGUGGAUACACGGCUAGUGGUGGUUGUUAAGACCCUCUUAUUGUGCUGUGUGUUGUGAGCUGUUAGGGAAACCCUCACCAAAGACCCUAUUGUAUCAUCUUGGUACGAUGCUUCGACCGCGACCCCAGGUCAGGCGGGACUACCCGCUGAGUUUAAGCAUAUCAAUAAGCGGAGGA